rnacentral:misc_RNA from 1 species
AAGGAGUCUAACAUGUUUGCGAGUGUUUGGGUGGUAAACCCGAACGCGUAAUUAAAGUGAAUGCAGGUGGGAUCCGCAAGGAGCACCAUCGACCGAUCUGGAUCUUUUGUGAUGGAUUUGAGUAAGAGCACAUAUGUUGGGACCCGAAAGAUGGUGAACUAUGCCUGAAUAGGGCGAAGCCAGAGGAAACUCUGGUGGAGGCUCGUAGCGGUACUGACGUGCAAAUCGUUCGUCAAAUUUGGGUAUAGGGGCGAAAGACUAAUCGAACCAUCUAGUAGCUGGUUCCCUC